rnacentral:tRNA from 1 species
GGCUCGGUAGCUCAGUCGGUAGAGCAGAGGACUGAAAAUCCUCGUGUCGGCGGUUCGAUUCCGUUCCGAGCCACCU